AGUGAACGCUGGCGGCAGGCCUAACACAUGCAAGUCGAACGGUAGCAGAGAACGACUUGCUGCUUUGGUGAGGAGUGGGGCGGGGGGGUGUGGUGUCCGGGGGACUGCACGAUGGAGGGGGGGAAAUCGUGGGGAAGGUAACGCAAACAGCAUAAAGGAGCAAGGCGAGAGAGGGGGACAUCAUGGGACCUUGCCAGCGGGUGUGCCCAGAUGGGAUUAGCUAGUUGGUGGGGUAACGGCCCACCCAGGCGACGAUCCCUAGCUGGUCUGAGAGGAUGAGCAGCCACACUGGAACUGAGACACGGUCCAGACUCCUACGGGAGGCAGCAGUGGGGAAUAUUGCACAAUGGGCGCAAGCCUGAUCCAGCCAUGCCGCGUGGGUGAAGAAGGCCUUCGGGUUGUAAAGCACUUUUGGCGGGGAGGAAAAGAGGCAAGUUAAUACCUCGCUGUACUGACGGUACCCGCAGAAUAAGCACCGGCUAACUCCGUG
rnacentral:rRNA from 1 species